rnacentral:rRNA from 1 species
CGUGGGUAACCUGCCCAAGAGAUCGGGAUAACACCUGGAAACAGAUGCUAAUACCGGAUAACAACAGAUGAUGCCUAUCAACUGUUUAAAAGAUGGUUCUGCUAUCACUCUUGGAUGGACCUGCGGUGCAUUAGCUAGUUGGUAGGGUAACGGCCUACCAAGGCGAUGAUGCAUAGCCGAGUCGAGAGACUGAUCGGCCACAUUGGGACUGAGACACGGCCCAAACUCCUACGGGAGGCAGCAGGU